CCUACGGGGGGCAGCAGUGAGGAAUAUUGUUCAAUGGGCGUAAGCCUGAACCAGCCAAGUCGCGUGAGGGAUGAAGGUUCUAUGGAUCGUAAACCUCUUUUAUAAGGGAAUAAAGCGCGGGACGUGUCCCGCUUUGUAUGUACCUUAUGAAUAAGGAUCGGCUAACUCCGUGCCAGCAGCCGCGGUAAUACGGAGGAUCCGAGCGUUAUCCGGAUUUAUUGGGUUUAAAGGGUGCGUAGGCGGCCUUUCAAGUCAGCGGUUAAAGUCUGUGGCUCAACCAUAGAAUUGCCGUUGAAACUGGGAGGCUUGAGUAUGUUUGAGGCAGGCGGAAUGCGUGGUGUAGCGGUGAAAUGCUUAGAUAUCACGCAGAACCCCGAUUGCGAAGGCAGCCUGCCAGGCCAUGACUGACGCUGAUGCACGAAAGCGUGGGGAUCGAACAGGAUUAGAUACCCGAGUAGUC
rnacentral:rRNA from 1 species